rnacentral:rRNA from 1 species
GCCUAAACAAUCUUUAACCCUAUUACAAAACUAAAAACUUUUAAUACAUAAAGUAAACCAUUUAUAAACCCUAGUAUGAGAGACAAAAAAGGAUAUUAGAGCUAUAGACAUAGUACCGCAAGGGAAAACUGAAAAAGAAAUGAAACAAAUCAUUUAAGUAUUGAAUAGCAGAGAUUACUUCUCGUACCUUUUGCAUCAUGAUUUAGCAAGUAAAAUCAAGCAAAGAGCCCUUUAGUUUGUUACCCCGAAACUAUGCGAGCUACUUCAAGACAAUCUAUUAGGAUAAACCCGUCUCUGUGGCAAAAGAGUGGGAAGAACUUUGAGUAGAGGUGACAAACCUAUCGAGCACAGUUAUAGCUGGUUGCCUGAGAAAUGGAUAGAAGUUCAGCCCUUUAAACAUUCCCCCACCACCCUUAAAGUUAAUAUGAUAAAGGAAAAUUAAGGAGUUAGACAGAAGGGGUACAGCUCUUCUGAAUAAAGAAACAACUUUAGUAGGUGAAUCAGGAUCAUACCAAUCAAGGACUAAGAUUUAAGUGGGCCUAAAAGCAGCCAUCUUUAAAGAAAGCGUUAAAGCUCCAACUAUUCAACUCGCCCCUUUAUACUGAUAUAUUACUCCCCUCCCCUACUAUUUACCAGGCUAUCUUAUGCCCCCAUAAGAAUAAUUAUGCUAAAAUGAGUAAUAAGAAGAAACUUCUUCUCCCAGCAUACAUGUAAGUCAGACCGGACCAUCCACCGAUUAUUACACGACCCCAAACUCAGAGGGACAUAAGUUAAAAAACAAGAAAACCACUUAACUAGAAUCGUUAACCCUACACAGGAAUGCAUUAAGGAAAGACUAAAAGGAAAGAAAGGAACUCGGCAAACUCAAGCCUCGCCUGUUUACCAAAAACAUCGCCUCUUGACCUACACAGCAUAAGAGGUCUCGCCUGCCCAGUGACUAAAUGUUAAACGGCCGUGGUAUCUUAACCAUGCGAAGGUAGCGUAAUCAUUUGUCUUUUAAAUGAAGACCUGUAUGAAUGGCAAAACGAGGGCUUAACUGUCUCCCUUCCCCAGUCAAUGAAAUUGACCUCCCCGUGCAGAGGCGGGGACAAAACUAUAAGACGAGAAGACCCUGUGGAGCUUUAGACUUAAAAUAACCCUGUAAAAUAAACUUUAAUACAAGCAUAAACUUAGUGAAACUUAUUUGAAUGUCUUUGGUUGGGGUGACCACGGGGCAAAACAUAACCCCCACGAAGAUUGGGGAGAUAUCCCUAACACUAAGAGACACCUCUCUAAGUAACAAAAUUUUUGACUUUAAAAAUGAUCCGGUAUAACCGAUUAACGAACUCAGUUACCCCAGGGAUAACAGCGCAAUCCCCUCCCAGAGCCCUUAUCGACGAGGGGGUUUACGACCUCGAUGUUGGAUCAGGACAUCCUAAUGGUGCAGCCGCUAUUAAGGGUUCGUUUGUUCAACGAUUAAAGUCCUACGUGAUCUGAGUUCAGACCGGAGUAAUCCAGGUCAGUUUCUAUCUAUAAAGAGUCUUUUCCCAGUACGAAAGGACCUGAAAAGAGGGGCCAAUACUUCAUGCACGCCCCUUCCUCAACCGCUGAAACCUUAUAAAACGGAUGAGAGCACUUACUAAUUAAACGAAGAUAACGGAAA